CCUACGGGUGGCAGCAGUGAGGAAUAUUGGUCAAUGGUCGGGAGACUGAACCAGCCAAGCCGCGUGAGGGAGGAAGGUACAGAGUAUCGUAAACCUCUUUUGUCAGGGAACAAAGUCGGGGACGUGUCCCCGGCUGAGUGUACCUGAAGAAAAAGCAUCGGCUAACUCCGUGCCAGCAGCCGCGGUAAUACGGAGGAUGCGAGCGUUAUCCGGAUUUAUUGGGUUUAAAGGGUGCGUAGGCGGUCUGUUAAGUCAGCGGUCAAAGCACGGGGCUCAACCCCGGCGCGCCGUUGAAACUGGCAGUCUCGAGUUGUCGAGAGGUAUGCGGAAUGCGCGGUGUAGCGGUGAAAUGCAUAGAUAUCGCGCAGAACUCCGAUUGCGAAGGCAGCAUGCCGGCUCCGCACUGACGCUGAGGCACGAAAGCGUGGGUAUCGAACAGGAUUAGAUACCCCAGUAGUC
rnacentral:rRNA from 1 species